CACCGCCCGUCACACCAUGGGAGUUGACUGCUCCAGAAGUGGCCUGGUUAACCGCAAGGAGACCAGCCCCUAAGGAGUGCUCAAUGACUGGGGUG
rnacentral:rRNA from 1 species